GAUACUCCUAGCUCCAGUUAUGAAUUUAUUCGUGCAGACUGCUAAUGCUGAAAAUAAACUACGAAAAACAAAUAAGUGUAAAAAUAAGAUAAAUUAUAAAAACACAUUAAAAGGGAAAAAUAAAAAAAACAAAUAAGUGUAAAAAUAAGAUAAAUUAUAAAAACACAUUAAAAGGGAAAAAUAACCAAACUAAAACAUGGAAAUGCAUAAGUAUAAAUAUAGAAGAAUGUGCAUCAAAAUGCA
rnacentral:lncRNA from 1 species